ACUCAGUUGUCGUGGUACCAUUGAAUUCAGAGCAAGGGUUUUAUUACGAAACGUGUCCUUUUGUACAAUAACAAACUCAAUCCAAUUCAUUUUAAAUGCUUAGAGGACUUUUAAUAAUUAUACAGAUGUGUUAAUUCAAUGUUUUUUAAAAGUCGGCCGUUUAAAAUUGUAUUUGAAUUUGAAGAUUGACUUUUUCCACAAUGUGAUAAAGUGAGUAUUUUGAAUAUGGGAAUGAGAAUCCUCAGAAAUACAAUAACAAUUGACAAUGGAUCAUGGAAAGUAAAGAUAAGGACAAAAUAGAAAAAAAGAGAAAGUCGAAGUUUUGAAAUGCCUUUGACAUCUUUGGGAACAUCAAGGAUAAAUACCGUCUAUACUUUCCCGGUCACUAGGGGCAACCAUCAUCUAAUUAACAACUAAAUGCAUUGUUUGGUGGUUAAAUUGGAAAACUUCUCCUCUCGUGUCAAUAUGCAUUUGUCGACCAAUAUGGACACACACGUUAUACCAAAGAGUUUAUAUUAACCCACGACGAACGACAACAUUCACUCUUGGAGGAAGUGAGACUGGUUGUUAUGGUUGGGUCGAUAUCUGCCCGCAAUGCACUUAUACCUGAUAAAUUAUUUAACAUGCAUCUGGCAUGUUUUGUGGCGCGAGAGAAAUGACAGCCGCUAGUGGUUGGCCAUCAGCAUCACCGUGGCAUUAUAACAGUCCUGUCGCUGACUGUGUAUAGAGAUACUCUCGUAUUCAAGGAAACUGCCAUCACACACAUUUCACCAUCACUCCUUGUCUGUGGCAUAUUCGAUGGCAUAAGAGGAUUAUAUGUGGCUUCAGAGGUAUAUACAAGAUCAUUGAAUACACGACUGUUAAAUGUGGUUACCAGCUGCUAAUAAAAAGUGUGGAAUAUAUAAUGAAGGCUCCGGAACAAUAAAGCAUUGCAGCCUUAAAAGAAGAAACAGCAUUCGUUUUUUAAUACCUAAAGUAUAUAGAUUUAAAAAAAAAAAUAAAAUUAAGAUUGAUCUCAAAGUUAAUCAAAUUAAAAUAAUUUGCAUAUAAUUAUUUCUGUGUUCGUGACCUUUCUUGAAUAUUUGUUCUAUUUUUUUAACAGGAGAUACAAAAUAGGUAAAUAGACCUCAAGCCCACAUAGAAUUAUAUUUUUAACUUGCAAAUGCUUAC